rnacentral:lncRNA from 1 species
AAUGUAUUUAAUUGCAGUUUUAUUUCUGAAUUCAUAGUAUUACUGUUUCUUAACAUGAUGUACUAUGUACUUGGGUUGCCGUCUCACUCAACGUAGAUGUUGCUGCCUUAUUAAUGUUCUAUAUAGUGUCUCAUUUAUGUAUUUUGUAAUUGGGUGCUGUCUAGUUGAUAUUAACACUAAAGCAACUGUUAUGCUUACAAGUUGCAUAUAUCAUUUAUUUUUAAAAAAUGCAUUAAAUUUCAAUGGUGUUAUGUUAUUAAGUAUUUCAGCUCUGUAUCAAU